rnacentral:rRNA from 1 species
AUUGAACGCUGGCGGCAGGCCUAACACAUGCAAGUCGAGCGGAUGAAGGGAGCUUGCUCCUGGAUUCAGCGGCGGACGGGUGAGUAAUGCCUAGGAAUCUGCCUGGUAGUGGGGGAUAACGUCCGGAAACGGGCGCUAAUACCGCAUACGUCCUGAGGGAGAAAGUGGGGGAUCUUCGGACCUCACGCUAUCAGAUGAGCCUAGGUCGGAUUAGCUAGUUGGUGGGGUAAAGGCCUACCAAGGCGACGAUCCGUAACUGGUCUGAGAGGUUGAUCAGUCACACUGGAACUGAGACACGGUCCAGACUCCUACGGGAGGCAGCAGUGGGGAAUAUUGGACAAUGGGCGAAAGCCUGAUCCAGCCAUGCCGCGUGUGUGAAGAAGGUCUUCGGAUUGUAAAGCACUUUAAGUUGGGAGGAAGGGCAGUAAGUUAAUACCUUGCUGUUUUGACGUUACCAACAGAAUAAGCACCGGCUAACUUCGUG